CAGGCCCUGUUAUCACAGGAGGUUAUAUUUCCCAACUGUUGAUUAAUAUUCAUUUUCAAAAUUUAAUAUUAUACAGGUUUAUGACCAUAUACGCAGAAAAUGCUGGCUGCUUGUCUCAUUUUUCCUUUCUUUUUUAUUUACAAUUUAUUACAAGGAAAAAAUGGGGUGCUGAAGUUGAAACAAUAUGAAAAUCUUGGAACUUUACUUUUUAUCAUUUGAAUUAUGUGUGAUUUAUUUUAUUUUACAGGUGAUUAUCCCAAAACAAGAGG
rnacentral:misc_RNA from 1 species